GGUAGCGUGGCUGAGUUGGCCUAAAGCACCGUCCUGCUAAGACGGCAGGUGCAGUGAUCCUGCGCCUCGUGAGUUCGAAUCUCACCGCUAUCGCCA
rnacentral:tRNA from 1 species